GACAGAGUGAGGGAGGGAGUGGGUGACCAGUGACAGAGGGAGGGGGUGACAUAGUGACAGAGUGAGGGAGGUGGUGACUGUCACUAGUCACCACCUCCCUCACUCUGUCCCUAGUCACCCCUCCCUCUGUCACUAGUCACCCCCUUCCUCACUCUGUCACU